GAGUGAAAGUCCUUUUUCUCUGUUUCAGCCAAUAAUAGCCUAGUUUGAGAGUAAGGGGCAAAUGAGAUUUAUGUUCCCUAUAACCACUGUUUUCAACCUAACACGUUUUGGAUCAGACAUUAUUUUUCCUGUGUUGGGAAUACAACCAGGUAUGAAUAUUUGGCUCAACAGCAGAAAAGCCUGAAAGGAGAGAUGAGUGACAUUGCAGCCACCGAGAGGAGAGAGAGAAGAGGAGGAAGAGGAGGAGGAGGAGCGAGAUGGGAAAAUAGGAGCCUUCAGAAGCGAAACGCUGGGGACCUAAACAGCCCUCAGACUCUGUGACUGUCACUCCCACACUGUUCCGGCCGAGUGGAGGAGGAGGAGGAGCUGCUCUGUACAGCAGGGUGCAGCUCGGGACUGAAACCUCAGAGUCACUCGCGUCCAGGUGGCACGUCAGUCACGGCUGUGUGAUCACCAUCCUGCUCACAAGGAACACCCCUGCAGAACCAAGCCCAAUCGCAGGCCAUUUCCAGGAUAAAAGAGGCCCAGUGCUCCUCCCUGAGCUCCCCUUCACCUGAGGAGAGGAUCGGAGACAGGCCAGGGAGGGAGGAGAGAAGCAGCCCCAGCCAGCAGCGU